UACAGAGGUCCCAAGCGUUGUUCGGAUUCACUGGGCGUAAAGGGUGCGUAGGUGGCCAGGUAAGUUUGGUGUGAAAGCUCGGAGCUUAACUCCGAAAAGUCAUUGAAUACUAUCUGGCUGGAGGGUCGGAGGGGAGACUGGAAUUCUCGGUGUAGCAGUGAAAUGCGUAGAUAUCGAGAGGAACACCAGUGGCGAAGGCGGCUCACUGGCCCGAUACUGACGCUGAGGCACGAAAGCGUGGGGAGCAAACAGG
rnacentral:rRNA from 1 species